AGUCGAACGGUGAACCCCAGCUUGCUGGGGGGAUCAGUGGCGAACGGGUGAGUAACACGUGAGUAACCUGCCCCUGACUCUGGGAUAAGCCUUGGAAACGAGGUCUAAUACCGGAUACGAGACGCUCGGGCAUCUGAAGCGUCUGGAAAGAUUUAUCGGUCAGGGAUGGACUCGCGGCCUAUCAGCUUGUUGGUGGGGUAACGGCCCACCAAGGCGACGACGGGUAGCCGGCCUGAGAGGGCGACCGGCCACACUGGGACUGAGACACGGCCCAGACUCCUACGGGAGGCAGCAGUGGGGAAUAUUGCACAAUGGGCGCAAGCCUGAUGCAGCGACGCCGCGUGAGGGAUGAAGGCCUUCGGGUUGUAAACCUCUUUCAGCAGGGAAGAAGCGCAAGUGACGGUACCUGCAGAAGAAGCGCCGGCUAACUACGUGCCAGCAGCCGCGGUAAUACGUAGGGCGCAAGCGUUGUCCGGAAUUAUUGGGCGUAAAGAGCUCGUAGGCGGUUUGUCGCGUCUGCUGUGAAAACUCGAGGCUCAACCUCGGGCUUGCAGUGGGUACGGGCAGACUAGAGUGCGGUAGGGGAGACUGGAAUUCCUGGUGUAGCGGUGGAAUGCGCAGAUAUCAGGAGGAACACCGAUGGCGAAGGCAGGUCUCUGGGCCGCAACUGACGCUGAGGAGCGAAAGCAUGGGGAGCGAACAGGAUUAGAUACCCUGGUAGUCCAUGCCGUAAACGUUGGGCACUAGGUGUGGGGCUCAUUCCACGAGUUCCGUGCCGCAGCAAACGCAUUAAGUGCCCCGCCUGGGG
rnacentral:rRNA from 1 species